ACAAACUUAAAUCAGAACUCAAAAGUUCAAAUCAGAAUGUUAGAUAGGAAUAAUUUGGUUUGCUUUGCCUGUGAAGUGAAGUUUGAUAGUGUUCAUAAACUGACUCAACAUUUGAGCACCUGCGAUGCUGCGUCUCGCAUGUGUGUUCACUGUAACCAGCUCUUUGAUUCGAAACAGAAGAUGCAACAACACUAUGCGACCCAUAGUAGUGCAUUUCCCUUGACAUGCAACUGUGGAAAGCAGUUCCCAAGCAAGGAGAAAUUAAACCAGCACCAUAAGACAUGCCAUGUUGAUUAUGGUGCUGCCAUGGGGUGCAGCUAUAGGUGUAAGGAGUGUGGAGAAAUAUUUAGAGAAAGGUACCAGCUCUACCACCAUGCCAAAGAGCAUGUCUUAAAAGCAGAGGAGAGAAUCUGUGAUAUUUGUGGACAUACAUUUAUUGGGAGUGAAGCUUUGGCCAAACAUAGAAAGGAGGAACACAAAACAUCAGACAACUUGCUGUAUAGGUGCAAAGUAUGCAGUUUCACAUCAGCAGACCAUAAAGAAACAUACCUUCAUGUAAAGACCCACACGUCAAAACAAGGUGUACCCAGAAGGCAUUUGUGUGAAUCAUGUGGCAAAAGCUUUGCCACUCCGUCUUCACUGUUACGUCACUCUCUACAGCAUGAGAAGCUGAAAGAGCACACAUGUAACAUUUGUUGCAAACGAUUUGCUGACGAAAAGGCCAGAGAUGAACAUGCUACAGAACAUAACAAAUAUAUUAUAUGUGAACGAUGUGGUCAGACAGUGAAUGAUGUUACCAUGUCAACUCAUAAAUGUAUAUAAAAUAAUAUGAAACUUGUGAUGCUGAAGACUCCUGAAAUAUAUCUGUAAGUUCAA